AGCGAACGCUGGCGGCAGGCCUAACACAUGCAAGUCGAACGAACUCUUCGGAGUUAGUGGCGGACGGGUGAGUAACACGUGGGAACGUGCCUAUUGGUUCGGAAUAACUCAGGGAAACUUGUGCUAAUACCGAAUGUGCCCUUCGGGGGAAAGAUUUAUCGCCAUUAGAGCGGCCCGCGUCGGAUUAGCUUGUUGGUGAGGUAACGGCGCAUCAAGGGGACGAUCAGUAACUGGUCAGCGAGGAAGACCAGCCACACUGGGACUGAGACACGGCCCAGACUCCUACGGGAGGCAGCAGUGGGGAAUCUUGCGCAAUGGGCGAAAGCCUGACGCAGCCAUGCCGCGUGAAUGAUGAAGGUCUUAGGAUUGUAAAAUUCUUUCACCGGGGACGAUAAUGACGGUACCCGGAGAAGAAGCCCCGGCUAACUUCGUG
rnacentral:rRNA from 1 species